GACAGAGGGUGCAAACGUUGCUCGGAUUUACUGGGCGUAAAGCGUGUGUAGGCGGCUUCGCAAGUUGGAUGUGAAAUCCCACGGCUCAACCGUGGACGUGCAUCCAAAACUGCGUCGCUAGAGUCUCGGAGAGGAAGGUGGAAUGCUUGGUGUAGAGGUGAAAUUCGUAGAUAUCAAGCAGAACACCUGCGGCGAAGGCGGCCUUCUGGACGAUGACUGACGCUGAGACACGAAAGCGUGGGGAGCAAACAGG
rnacentral:rRNA from 1 species